GACGAACGCUGGCGGCGUGCUUAACACAUGCAAGUCGAACGGAAAGGCCCCUUUGGGGGUACUCGAGUGGCGAACGGGUGAGUAACACGUGAGUAACCUGCCCUUGACUUCGGGAUAACUUCAGGAAACUGGGGCUAAUACCGGAUAGGAAUCCUUGCUGCAUGGUGGGGGUUGGAAAGCUUCGGCGGUUUUGGAUGGACUCGCGGCUUAUCAGCUUGUUGGUGGGGUAGUGGCUUACCAAGGCUUUGACGGGUAGCCGGCCUGAGAGGGCGACCGGCCACAUUGGGACUGAGAUACGGCCCAGACUCCUUCGGGAGGCAGCAGUGGGGAAUAUUGCACAAUGGGCGGAAGCCUGAUGCAGCAACGCCGCGUGCGGGAUGACGGCCUUCGGGUUGUAAACCGCUUUCAGCAGGGGCGAAGCUUGUGGUGACGGUACCUGCAGAAGAAGCACCGGCUAACUACGUG
rnacentral:rRNA from 1 species